UCCAUUAAACAUUUUAUUUGCUGAACGUACCGGUUAUCGUCCGAUCACCGAAGUCAAGAAACAUAGGGCCUGGUCAGUAAUUGGAUGGGAGACCGCCUUUGAAUACCGGGUGUUGUAGGCA
rnacentral:rRNA from 1 species